UCAGUUAACACAGCUGGACAUCACUAGCCUUUGUCCUUUCAAAUCCACCGUCCAGCCUUUAUGAUAGCAUUUUCCAAUGAGAUCUUAUAAUAUCUGCUAUCAAUAUCUUUUAACAUCUCCUUGAAUCUUCUUCGUCUGACUCGUUUGAUCUCCGUCUUUCUCUUUUCUGAGUAGUAUCCCUUAGAUGCAGUCCCAACAAUUGCUCUUCUUCUUUCCUCAGCAUUUCUUUUUUUUUUUUUCAAAAACUGGGUAAUCUUGAAUCUCCUUCAUCUUGUGCUCUUGGCCUCCGUCGCUCCCUCUCCUGAUGGAUACUCCUUGGAUGCAACCCCAGCAGAGUGAAUAACUGACUUAGAGGCCACGAUAUCCCCCUCCGUAUCGCAGACAACCAAACCUAAAGAAGAUCUCGAAGUUCUCUUGUCAAAAGCCGUAUCAAAAUAAAUUGUCAUCCUCAUGUUUCUUUCCAUCUGCUUAUGUCCUCUGUCAAUACUGAUUGACCAUAACCCACAGCAAAAAAGGUGACACUGGUCGUUAUUCCCCUGCCUGAAAACCCAGAUAAGCCACUCCCACAAGCUUUGAGUAUUGUUAUUGGAUACCAAUUCAAGAUCUAAACUUGACCAUACUUUUAUUGUUGUGGCACAGUACCUGAAAACGUGGUUGCUAUCUUCAGCGGAGGUGUGACAUCGGGGACAAAAAGUUUCCACUGACUUUUUUACUCUUUAGAUUAAAUAGAGUAGGACUACAAUUCCAAGAAAUUUUCCCAAUUGUAAUUUUAAUUUUUUGAGGGAUUUGUAAAUUCCAUAAUUUUCUGUAGAAGUUUCUAUUCUCGGUCUGUAUAAAAUUAUUACUAGGACCCGAAUUAGUCUCAUGUAAUAGUUUAUAGGCACUUCUGACGGAAUACUCUCUUGACGGUUCUCCUCUCCAUACUUGAAAGUCCUCGUAGAUUGUCUUUGCCAAGGGAAUCUGCAGAAUUAUUUUUGCAGUAUCCUCAUUAAAGGUGCUUAAAACUAAAUCUGUAUUCCAUUUUCGAUUAUUAGCAUCAAUCAAAACUGAUAUUAACUUAAUAUUCUCAUUGACAUUUUCAUUCUGCAAUCUAUCAUUUUCAUCUCCCAAAAUCCACAAGUCAUCCCAAACAGAGAUGCGAUUCCCUGCUCCUAUUCUCCAGCAAAGUCCUUUCUCCAAAAUCCCUUUAGCUGCCCAGACACUCUUCUAGAGCAAGGAAAACUAAAAUUCGGGCUAAAAUGGGGAAAAUACCAAGUUGUGGACGAAAUGGUAAAAGUAGCCAUUUUCGCAUACGAGUGUUGACAAGCCAGCUCGGAAAUCGGAAACGGUCGGAGGCACGCUCACAGUAUCCGUAUACCAUCUUGGCAUAAUGGCUUGUAUAUUUUGAGUAUGGCAUGUAUAGCAUUAUAAUAAUUUUGUAUAUAUGGUCUUAUGAUAUGGUUAUUGAGUGGUAUGGAAAUGCUUGGUAAUGAUUAGCCAUUGGAAUGGCUAAUCAUGAUCA